rfam:Schistosoma mansoni strain Puerto Rico chromosome 4, complete genome
AUCCAGCUGAAGAGUGCCAAACAAGACGAAACGCGCGUUCUCGAU